GGUCUAGUGUGUGUGUGUAUGUGCGCACUCCCCCACCCUGAACCAGAACUUGGCUCACCUAGAUGUUUUGUUCAUCCAGUCUUUCCACACUGGACGACGAAAGAGGGCGUACAGUCACAGUGAAGUCAAAAUGAUGAGGAGAGGAGGGGAGAGGCUGAGAGUCCUCCAUGUUAAAUAAUCUUAUCAGGCAUGUUUCUCUAUGGCUUCAUAUGAAACCUUAUCUCGUACAGGGAAUUGAUUGGAAACAUCUGGGCCUUGUUUUGCCUCACUGUAUGACUGUCUUCAUUGUUCCUGGUUCCCCACCCCACUCCACAUGGCCCGAGUGCAUGACAGGAACCGCUCCUGGUGGACCUUUUCUUCAUGGCAACCCUCCUCCCCCUCGUUUCGUUGAAAGGACUAUUUUCUGCUCUUCUGUUCCUGGUUUCCUUUCAUGUCUCUUGCGAUAGAUUGUACCUGCCAAGUAUGAUUUGAGGGAGUGAGAAAUAGGCUUCCAUAUAUGACAGAGAAACACCUAGCAGAAGUCCAUCAGGACAGGGAGGCGGACAGCCCCUGCAAUGUGUGUUGAGGUGAGCCGUGCUGAGCUGCUGUGGACCAGCAGGCCAAAGGCUGCAGGAGGAACAGGCUGAAGCUCAGCAGGACCCAUAUGGCCUUCUGGAGUUGAGCCUCAGCUAUGUGGCACAAGAGGAAAACAUACACACAGGUGUGUUCCAAUCUUAUCGAAUCAACAAAUCCAAAAGUAGAAUCAUCUAUACAAAUAUUUGCUCUAGUUCAUAAACACCCACUCAUUCAAACACUGCAAAUGCUAAGAUAUGAGUUCAGUAUACUGCUGUGCUGAAACCAUCCUGCUUAUUUAACUCUUAAGACUCAUUUUUAAUCAAAGAUAAACUUUAGUUUAAAAACCGAACACCUCAGUUACAGCUUUUCCACAAACUAUGGGCCUAUUUGCACUUGUCACUCUAUCUGAUCAAAGAAAAUGCAUGAAGUGGCAUCUUCUACAUUUUGAAUUAAAUAUUAGAUUAAAACAUUCCCAAUCCCCUUAAUAAACAGGAAGGUGUAUAUUAAUAGGGUCUAAAUCUCAUAUUUUUGAUCUUCUAUACAUACUACUUAAAAAGAUCAUGAGAUUUAGACCCUAUUAAUGUUCUACAAGCAGCUUUAUACAACAUGAGUAGGUUAGUCUUAUGGGGGGUAAACAUGGAGAUUACACAAUCAGCCCAACAGUAGGCCUACUUGUCAGUAACCUGUUAGAAGUUUAUUCACCGUCAUGACUGAAAGGCUUACUUUGGUGUGAUACCGCAACCACACCACCAGGUGUCAGUAAGAUUACAACUGCCAACUCAGCCAUUCAAGCUAAUCAAGAUUACACCUGUCCCCAAUAGUAGCACUUCCGGUAUUUGCACUUGACUUGUAUGAAAUAUUUACUGUAUUUGGUGCAAGUGGGCAUUAAGACUAACCCUGCAUCUCAAUCAGCUCCCUAGGCUGUGAAUCAGUAUAUCAUGUAAAUGAAUGUGGCGGAUUCCCUGAUCCGUGCCCUGACUACUGAACUAGGGAGCUGAUUGAGAUGCACCCUAAGUCUGUGUAGCACUUUUGAUAAGACACACAAUAUAGUGUAAAAAUGCAAGUAAAGUUUUGACAGCUCUUUAUUUACACGUUUUGAUUUAAUACUUUGUACGUCAAAAUAAACUUCUAAAUGUCUGUUCAAGCAGUAUGCAACACUUAAAAUCUUACUACCAAAUUAUAUGUAAUAUCUAAUUAAUAUAAUUUACACUC